rnacentral:lncRNA from 10 species
AAGAGAGGGCAUGGGGAGAAGUUGAGCUGCAAUACAGCAGCCACAAAAUCCUCAGCUAGUCAUCCAUGGGGAAGCCACGGAGCUAGGAGGACACUUCAAGGAUGUUCCUGAGUGAAGUCCUUACCUUGGUACAUAAUAGGGAAGAAGAUUCAGAGGUUUGAGAAGUGCUAUCUCCAACUUUCUUGCCGGGAAAGGCAGUCACAUGCCUGCAAUCUUUCAAUUCUGCUCUGCAACAUAAGAAUGGGCUUUGGGCCUGGAAUGCUUCCUAACCAAGAGAUAGGGAGACCUCAAAGCCUGUGCUGGGAUUAUAACUUUGUGUGGGAAUAUAUUUGCCUGUUUCAGAUCCAAUAAUAACUUUGUCUUUCUAUUUAAGCAUUUGCUUCACGUGAUACCAGGCCAACUCUACCACCAUAACCCAUUCUUAGCUGCGGGAGGAAAUAGGUUCCUUCACUUGCAGAACAAGAGGAGUGCAUGUAGUUAAUCAGUGUGCAUUGGCUGCAAUACAACCCCCUGAGCCACAAGGAUUGGCACCCACUAUUGAAGCUAAUCUUGUUCUGUCUCCUCUAUGUGGGUAAAGCCAUGUUCCAUCCAGUGCAUGUGUGAGUUCUAUCUUUCUUAUUGACCCUGAACCAUGAUGUGGAUUGGCAUCCUGGGUAUGCUGCUUCUGUGGAAUGGGAAUCCUUCCCUGGAGGUUAUAACAGGAAUUCCUCGAUCAACGCCUCUAAUUAAAUGCCAGGCAUCACCAAUUCUGCACAACUUUAGCCAUCUGUUCAACACCUCUGGGGUUACUUUCUCUUCUUGGGAGUGACUCAAGGAAUAGGGAUGCAGGCUAUCUUCUAAGGGAACUGAGCAGCAUCUUUAACCUCUGGAUCUUCCUUCAGAGAGAAAUGUCACUCCCUGGGGAUCUUGUUUUCCAGAUACUACAAGAAGAAAGUGUUUUCAGAAGUUUACACUGAAAACAAGAAAGUCCAAAUUACUGAGUCCAACUUUUCUUAUUUCAGAGUGGCUAAGAAGACAUUUGAGUGGAGACUUGAAGGAAGGGAGACUGGAGGUCAUAUGGUUAUCUAAAGCACAGGUAUUCCAGAUGAAUGGUUUCAUCAAGAGUGGCCACCUUGGAAGAUGAAACAAACUUAGGAAUGAAGGCUAUGCAUAAAGGACUCAAAAGAGAGAGCCAGGUGCCUGACACCACAGAGGACUGAACCAAAUUUCUCUGGACCAUCUGCUUCCACAUUUGUUGUAAGAGAGAAUUAAACUUUUCUCUCACUUAAGCCACAAUUAUUUGUAUUUUCCUGUCACUCUCUACCAAAUUUAACCUUAAAAAACUCAAUAUGUGUGGCUGAUGUGUAAAUUCCCAAGCCAAUUGUAAUUUUUAAAGAUUAUUUACACUCUUUCCUGCUUUCAAUUAGCAAUAUUAAUUAAAACUUGAUUUUACUUCUCUAAUUCUGUCUAAAUUUAAAACAGUUUCCCUAUUUUUUAUAUGCACUAACAGCUGAGUUUCAGGAAAAGACAAAAGCCCAACCUGAGCAGCCAUGUAGAUUCGUGUAGAACCCUAAAUUAAGAACAACAACAACAAAAAAACUUAUCUGUAGUAUGAACAUUAUAUUCACUUUGAAUUUGGAUAUUUCCUGAUUGACAAGGAAGAUUAAGAUACUCCUAUAGGAAGAUAUUUUUCUAAUUUCUUAAUUUAUAUAUUGAAAUAUAGUGAAAAUAAGACAAAAAAGUCAUACUUAACAAUCACACAGCCUUAAAGAAAACAGAGAGCAGUAGCAAUCACUAACAAUACAGUGUGAUAAGCAUUAGCAUAGAUUGCACUAAAUACAUAUUAGUGACUAAUAAACUCUAGCACAGAUUAAGUUAAACAUACAUUAGUAAAUAGACUAGCAAGGAACAUAUAACAAUAUUUCAUGUAUCUUGCAGAUUAUAUAAUAAUUUCCCAUCUUGUCUACUAACAUCUGUAAUAUAAUUUACUUUAAUUUUUGUUGCUAAUUCUUUAUCCCAUGAAUCAUAUUCCACACAUCAAAGAAUCUAGCAAUUUUUUAUAAACUAAUGGAAAUAUAUUGCAAAUUCUUGGAAAUCACAUAUCCUGUGAAACUUUAACAAAUUUAUUUAAGAGAAUAUAUAUUUAAGUACUCAUAUUGUAUAUAAGUAAAAUACAUCUAUUUAAGACUACAUAUAUAGCUUUAAAUAUUUAUGUGAUCUAUAAAUUCUGCUCUUUAGCAUUUAAGAAGCCCUCAUCUACCACUGCUUUUUUCUUCUAGGAAUGCUUCCUCUUCCACUCCAUCUACAUAGUUCUGUGUCAUGUCCUUCUAUAACUGCAGUUUAAAGGGUAAUCAGAGUGCGCCAAUCAGAUACAUUUCCUGGGAUUUUAGAAUUUGUGAUCAGAGAAAGUAGAAGUCAUUUUUGUCAUUUCACUGAAGUUGUGAGUUGUAAAAUUCAGAGACUAAUGUAGGUAAUAUUUCCAUCCAAGUGAAGAGGGCCAGUUUGCAGUGAGAGGAAAUAAUUCUAAAUAGACCAAAAUAAGUAUCAUCAAGAGGGAAAGGAGAAAGAGAGAGUUCUGCCACAAUCAACUUCCAGUUUCAACUUUUCCUGAGGCCUCAUAUGCAUCACUGCCUUUCUUGUGGCUCAACUACUCAAAGCCUUCUUAGAAGCAAUGAUGUAAUCAAUGUACCCUUAUGCUCUUGUUCUGAAGCUCUCUUGAAUCAUGGGCUUGAAUCAUUCCAAUUAACUUACAUCAUGGUGUAGUAAGCAACCCCAAAUUAUAAUGGUUUAAAGAAAACAAAUGAUUAUUUCUGUCUCUCAUGUUAUAUGACACUUAGGGAUUGGCAGAAAGAGCCCUGUUUGUCACAGCCACUUGGAAACUUAAGUAAAUGCUACAGACUAGUUGUCAAGUCAGACGGCAAUGAGCUGUAGAAGGUCUCACAGUAGCAAUUAAGUGCUUUAAACUCAAAUCAGAAAUUAGCACACAUAACUUCUAUUUUCAACACUUUGUCUAGAACUGGUAAUACAACCCCAACUGACCACAAGAGAACCAAGGUUUUAGUCUGGCAAUAUACACCAAAAAAAAAAAAAAAAAAAAAAAGUGAGAAAAGGAAAUAAAACAUUAGCAACCAGAAUCCUAAUUGGGGAUAUCACCACAGAUCCCACAGAAAUACAAACUACUAUCAGACAAUAUUAUAAACAACUCAAUGCAAAUAAAUAAGAAAAUUCAGAAGAAAUGGAUAAAUUCCUGUACAAAUAAACCCUCCCAAGACUAAACCAGGAAGAAGUCAAAUUCCUGAAUAGACCAAUAACAAGUUCUGAAAUUGAGGCAGUAAUUAAUAGCCUACAAAAAAAAAAAAAGCCCAGGACCAGACGGAUUCACAGCUGAAUUCUACCAGAGGUACAAAAAGGAGCUGGUACCAUUCCUUCUGAAACUAUUCCAAACAAUAGAAAAAGAAGGACUCUUCCCUAUCUCAUUUUAUGAGGCCAGCAUCACCCUGAUACGAAAACCUGGCAGAGACACAACAAAAAAAGAAAAUUUUAGGCCAGUAUCCCUGAUGAACAUUGAUGAGAAAAUCCUCAAUAAAAUACUGGCAAACCGAAUCCAGCAGCACAUCAAAAAGCUUAUCCACCACGAUCAAGACGGCUUCAUCCUGGGAUGCAAGGCUGGUUCAACAUAUGCAAAUCAAUAGAUGUAAUCCAUCACAUAAACAGAACCAUUGACAAAAAACACAUGAUUAUCUCAAUAGAUGCAGAAAAGGCCUUCGAUAAAAUGAAACACCUCUUCAUGCUAAAAACUCUCAAUAAACUAGGUAUUGAUGGAACGUAUCUCAAAAUAAUAAGAGCUAUUUAUGACAAACAUGCAGCCAAUGUCAUACUGAAUGGGCAAAAGUUGGAAGCAUUCCCUUUGAAAAUCACCACAAGACAAGAUGUCCUCUCUCACCACUCCUACUCAACAUAGUAUUGGAAGUUCUGGCCAGGGCAAUCAGGCAAGAGAAAGAAAUAAAGCGUAUUCAAAUAGGAAGAAAGGAAGUCAAAUUGUCUGUUUGCAGAUGACAUGAUUGUAUAUUUAGAAGACCCCAUCAUCUCAGACCAAAAUCUCCGUAAGCUGAUAAGCAACUUCAGCAAAGUAUCAGGAUACAAAAUCAGUGUGCAAAAAUCAC